rnacentral:rRNA from 1 species
AACGAACGCUGGCGGCAGGCCUAAAACAUGCAAGUCGAACGAACCUCCGGGUUAGUGGCGCACGGGUGCGUAACGCGUGGGAAUAUGCCUCUUGGUGCGGAACAACGUCUGGAAACGGUCGCUAAUACCGCAUAAUAUCUACGAAUCAAAGAUUUAUCGCCAAGAGAUUAGCCCGCGUCUGAUUAGCUAGUUGGUGAGGUAAUGGCUCACCAAGGCGACGAUCAGUAGCUGGUCUGAGAGGAUGAUCAGCCACACUGGAACUGAGACACGGUCCAGACUCCUACGGGAGGCAGCAGUUGGGAAUAUUGGACAAUGGGGGAAACCCUGAUCCAGCCAUGCCGCGUGUGUGUAGAAGGCCUUAGGGUUGUAAAGCACUUUCGGCUGUGAAGAUAAUGACAGUAGCAGAAGAAGAAGCUCCGGCUAAAUUCGUGCCAGCCGCCGCAGUAA